rnacentral:rRNA from 1 species
AGAGUUUGAUCCUGGCUCAGGACGAACGCUGGCGGCGCGCCUAACACAUGCAAGUCGAACGAGCGAGAGAGAGCUUGCUUUCUCGAGCGAGUGGCGAACGGGUGAGUAACGCGUGAGGAACCUGCCUCAAAGAGGGGGACAACAGUUGGAAACGACUGCUAAUACCGCAUAAGCCCACGGGUCGGCAUCGACCAGAGGGAAAAGGAGCAAUCCGCUUUGAGAUGGCCUCGCGUCCGAUUAGCUAGUUGGUGAGGUAACGGCCCACCAAGGCGACGAUCGGUAGCCGGACUGAGAGGUUGAACGGCCACAUUGGGACUGAGACACGGCCCAGACUCCUACGGGAGGCAGCAGUGGGGAAUAUUGCACAAUGGGGGAAACCCUGAUGCAGCGACGCCGCGUGGAGGAAGAAGGUCUUCGGAUUGUAAACUCCUGUUGUUGAGGAAGAUAAUGACGGUACUCAACAAGGAAGUGACGGCUAACUACGUGCCAGCAGCCGCGGUAAAACGUAGGUCACAAGCGUUGUCCGGAAUUACUGGGUGUAAAGGGAGCGCAGGCGGGAAGACAAGUUGGAAGUGAAAUCCAUGGGCUCAACCCAUGAACUGCUUUCAAAACUGUUUUUCUUGAGUAGUGCAGAGGUAGGCGGAAUUCCCGGUGUAGCGGUGGAAUGCGUAGAUAUCGGGAGGAACACCAGUGGCGAAGGCGGCCUACUGGGCACCAACUGACGCUGAGGCUCGAAAGUGUGGGUAGCAAACAGGAUUAGAUACCCUGGUAGUCCACACCGUAAACGAUGAUUACUAGGUGUUGGAGGAUUGACCCCUUCAGUGCCGCAGUUAACACAAUAAGUAAUCCACCU